UACGUAGGGGGCUAGCGUUGUCCGGAAUCAUUGGGCGUAAAGAGCGUGUAGGCGGUCCGGUAAGUCCGCUGUGAAAGUCGGGGGCUCAACCCUCGAAUGCCGGUGGAUACUGUGGGGCUAGAGUACGGAAGAGGCGAGUGGAAUUCCUGGUGUAGCGGUGGAAUGCGCAGAUAUCAGGAGGAACACCAAUAGCGAAGGCAGCUCGCUGGGACGUUACUGACACUGAGGCGCGAAAGCGUGGGGAGCGAACAGG
rnacentral:rRNA from 1 species